AGCACGACGCGACCAGCGACGCACGGCGGUGCCUGUGUCUUCUCUGCUCAUGCUCUUUUUUUCUUUCUGAUGCAAAAGGCUAUGGUCAAGUUCAUGGUGAGAACCGGUUGUGUUCUUCCUCAUGGCCAGAGCUCGUCCGGUGAUGUAGGAGAUAGAUGGAGCCCCAACCGUGUGGUCUAAUUCCUCAUGGGGUUUCUGGAGCCACUUUUUUUGCAGCUCAACAUUGGUAUACUUUAGAAGUUCAUCUACUAACUGAUCGAGGUGUUUCCAUCCGCCUCCUGCCUUGCAUCUCUAGUACGUGACCUGCUCCGGCACCUCUGAUCGACCUUCCCCGUCGUCGCUUGCUUGAACAUGUGAACCUCUGCUGCUCCAUGUAAAUCUGCCUGCUGCACUACUACGGUUGCUCUAUGUUGUGCCCUUUUGCUGGUUGAAGUUGUUGUUAUUUGCUAGCUUUUCCAUAGGCUACUGCACUUGGAUCUUGAAAUCAAUUUCAUCGGUUAUGUGCGUGCUUGGACUGACAACAUUAGGCCAUAGAAAAAAAUGGAUGCUCCUCGACUACUAAUUCCAUGGCUGCCUCAGCUCUACUCGCUCAAGCGACGAUAACUUUGAUGUUUGUUUCUACAAUAUUGUUUGCAAGUCAGUAUUGUUGGUAUGGAUGCUUCUCUGUUGUUCAUCUUGUAGUAUGUUAAAGAAGAAUCAUGAAUGAUUGGGUCUACAUCUGCAUAAAAGAGAGUCCCUUUCCGAGUUUUGAUCCGUUAGUUAAUUUCAUAUGUAUGUUGUUAAAAAAGAAUUAAUCGUGUAGAAUGUGAAAAACUGAGAUUAGAGUUGUAUUUUUUCUGCUGAAUUUUUUCACAAUGUUUCUUGGUUAUCAAGUAAGUGUUCUUUCAUUGUUUUCAUCAAUUUCCUAAUUGAUGGAAAAGCUUGCUGCUACUCGCGUCCAGUGUUGUGUACUGUGCUCCUCUAUCUAAAGCUUGUACAGCGUGCCAGAGCAAAAAAUGGGAAGGCACUAAUCUGAAGUUCAGAUAUGAUAAAGAAAGAAGUCGUGCGAUCUCGGAUCUAGUGAUUUUCCACAAGCUAUGGCCCCUUUCCCUGAUGCAUAAACGCGGACGGCCGCCCUGCAACAUACCUCUUUCUCCCGCUGCUCCAGCAAGCAAGCUCCUAGCGUCGCUCCUCCAGCCUGCGACCUUCCGUGCCACGUCUCCACCGGGCGUUGCUACCUCCCGGCCAUAUGAAUGGCGUUGCCGAAGUCCACAUUGUACUACACCAGAAGGACGACUCCUAUAGGUCGUGCCAAUCGUCUUUCUUCCACCGUCCAUGGUCGCCAUCGCCGUUAAUAAAGUUGUACUCGAUCCAUGUGUACUAUGUUUGCCAUACGUGCUUGAUGCAUUCGAGCGCCCCACGCAGUGCUCCAGGGAAGUAGCUGGAGGCAGGAGCUAGCUGCGCACUUGCUGAUUUUGUCAUAGCCUAGUGGUUGUUAACCAAGCUAAGCAGGUCAUGUUUGUGUCAGCUAGAAGAACCAGUGUGAGGCGUUACGUAGAGCUUGUCGGUUUGACUGAGUUAGAUGUACCAGGAUGGGAGAUGCGAGUGUUCUUUACUUGUGAGUUUAUUAUAA